rnacentral:rRNA from 1 species
AAACGCUCCGUCUCCCCUUAUAUAUACCACAUUACCACGGCAGCCGAAGCUAGCAAAACCUACACCAACAGGCUUGCUUGCUAGGUACGUACUAGCUAGCUAGCUCUGGUAUUCAACACAAUAACUUACUGGCUCAAUGGCCGCCACCCGAGCGUGCUUGGUUGUGCUAGUCGUGGCUCUCACGUUUCUCUGCUUGGACGGCCGGGCGGCGGCGGCGCCGGCGACUGCUGGGAGUUUGGCUCAGCGGCGGCAGGAGGUGCAAAGCCUCCUCAGGCGGCUCAAUAAGCCUGCUCUCGCAACCAUUCAGAGCCCAGAUGGAGAUGUCAUCGACUGUGUGCAUAUCUCCAAACAGCCUGCAUUUGACCAUCCUCUCCUCAAGAACCAUACUAUCCAGAUGCGGCCUUCUUACCACCCAGGAGGCAUAUAUCAUAACUCCAACAUCGCCCCCCAUCCAAUCACCCAAACAUGGCAUCAAAAUGGCAAGUGCCCUAAGAACACCAUACCAAUCCGAAGGACCAAUGAGGACGACGUCUUAAGGGCCAUUUCCGUCGACAGGUAUGGCAAAAAGAGACCAGGGAGCAUCCCAAACACAAGUUCAAUCAAUGACCCUAACACAUCCAAUAUAAUGAGUGGGCACCAGUAUGCCAUAGCAUCUUCAAAUGUUGAUAAGUGCCAUGGAACGAAAGCCACCUUCAAUUUGUGGCAACCAACGAUUGGGAGGGACAAUGACUUCAGCUUGACCCAGCUUUGGAUAGUUGGGGGUUCCUACGAAGGCAAUGAUCUCAAUACUAUUGAAGCAGGAUGGCAGGUUUACCCAAAUUUUUAUAAGGAUAACAAUCCUAGACUCUUCAUCUACUGGACUCGUGAUGCAUAUGAAAGCACAGGAUGUUACAACCUAAAGUGCUCAGGGUUCGUCCAGAUGAAUAAUCAGAUUGCAAUUGGUGGCACCUUAUCCCCAGUAUCCACCUAUGGUGGUGCACAAUAUGACUUUGAUAUUUUAGUUUGGAAGGACCCAAAGGAGGGCAACUGGUGGCUGCAAAUGGGGAGUGAUUAUGUAGGAUAUUGGCCAUCAUCCAUUUUCACGUACUUGGCAGAUAGUGCCUCUACUAUACAAUGGGGAGGUGAGAUAGCGUCAUCUGAUCUCGGCCAAACUUCCACAGAUAUGGGUAGUGGACACUUCCCAGAGGAAGGGUUCGGCAAGGCCAGUCAUGUCAAGAAUAUACAAGUGGUAGAUUCAUCCAACAUUCUCAAACCGCCAAGUGAUGUGACCACUAUAGCUGGGCAGCGCAGCUGCUAUAACGUGCACAAUGGUAUCUCUGACAACUUGGGCACUUACAUAUUCUAUGGGGGCCCUGGGAAGAACUCUAACUGCCCAUGAUCAAUACGCCUUUAGUAUUAUAAUUAUUUAUGGAUUACUAGUGGCCCAAUACGUAUUGUUAGGGUCUAUACUAAUGCAAUAGUAUGUGUGGCCAUGUGUGGCGUUCGAAUGCUCUACUAGUGUGUGUAUGUCUACACUCGUAAGAGGUGGGAACAAGCAAUUUAAGCUUGCAUAAUAUGUAUUCAUUUCCCACCACAUGUUUGAGAAUAUGGAAUAAGAAGCUUUGGUCAUCUGCUAUUACAGAUUGUAUAGCAUUGGAGCUAAAUAUCAUAUACUAUCAGUAAGGAUAAGAACAUUUACAUCCAUGAUAAUAGACACUAGCGGCAAGAUAUUUUGGAGCUCAAAAUAAUGGUUUUCAUUAAUACAUACAUUUUAUUGUAUUUAUUGCAAGAGUUUACUGAUUCAUUUAAGCAAAUCUUAGAGACAAAACAUUUCUUCUUGAGUUAAAUACACUGAAGGUGCCUUAUCUUGUCCAGCACUGUCACUUUGGU